rnacentral:rRNA from 1 species
CCUACGGGGCGCAGCAGUGGGGAAUAUUGCGCAAUGGGCGAAAGCCUGACGCAGCGACGCCGCGUGGGGGAUGACGGCCUUCGGGUUGUAAACCUCUUUCAGCAGGGACGAAGUUGACGUGUACCUGCAGAAGAAGCGCCGGCUAACUACGUGCCAGCAGCCGCGGUGAUACGUAGGGCGCAAGCGUUGUCCGGAAUUAUUGGGCGUAAAGAGCUCGUAGGUGGCUGGUCGCGUCUGCCGUGAAAGCCCGCAGCUUAACUGCGGGUCUGCGGUGGAUACGGGCCGGCUAGAGGUAGGUAGGGGCAAGUGGAAUUCCUGGUGUAGCGGUGAAAUGCGCAGAUAUCAGGAGGAACACCGGUGGCGAAGGCGGCUUGCUGGGCCUUACCUGACGCUGAGGAGCGAAAGCGUGGGGAGCGAACAGGAUUAGAUACCCCCGUAGUC